AGCAGCCGCGGUAAUUCCAGCUCCAAUAGCGUAUAUUAAAGUUGUUGCAGUUAAAAAGCUCGUAGUUGAAUUUCGGGAUUGACACAUCGGUCGUGCCUUAAGGGGUAUGAACUGGUGUAGUCAAUUUCUCACCUUCUGGAGAACCGCGAUGCCCUUAAUUGGGUGUCGCGGGGAACCAGGACCUUUACUUUGAAAAAUUAGAGUGUUUAAAGCAGGCAUUUUGCUUGAAUACAUUAGCAUGGAAUAAUAAAAUAGGACGGCAUGAUUCUAUUUUGUGGUUUCUAGGAUCACCGUAAUGAUUAAUAGGGAUAGUUGGGGGCAUUAGUGUUCAAUUGUCAGAGGUGAAAUUCUUGGAUUUAUCGAAGACUAACUACUGCGAAAGCAUUUGCCAAGGAUGUUUUCAUUAAUCAAGAACGAAAGUUAGGGGAUCGAAGACGAUCAGAUACCGUCGUAGUCUUAACCAUAAACUAUGCCGACUAGGAAUCAGACGAUGUUAAUUUUUAAUGACUCGUUUGGCACC
rnacentral:rRNA from 1 species